CUACAACGGUGGUUGUACAUGUGUCUGUGUGUGUCUGUGAGUGUGUGUCAUUGUUCUAAGUAAAGACCCAACACCUGCUGCACAGGAUUAACUUCACAGAGACAAUGGAGAGACACAGGACACAGUCUGAUCCUUUGCGGAGGUGAACCAAUGUGUGUGAUGUAGUAAACCUAGGUGUUGUGGGAAAGAGAACGUCCCCUCAUCUCUCUUCAAUGGAAAGGACCGGCCAGCUGGUUACCAGCCAGACAACGAGGCAAACGACCAGUGAGCUCCCCACACCAGUUCAGAGUGGAGGCACUGGUCCUUUGGAAAGAAGGCUCCUUUGAUGACUUCUAUGUCAUCGAAAGCUACUUUGAUGAUGUUGAAGACUCAACUUUGAUGUCAUCAAAGCAGCCUUCUUCAUUUAGGAGAGCUGGAUCCCAGGAACAUCUCCAGCUUGAUCCCGUGGAACAUAGUCCAGGUCCUCAGCGUCCGAGAUUUCAGACUCAGAAUCAAGACCAGGAAUUGCCUCCUCAUCUUCCUCAUCCUGUUCUUUAUGCAGCAUCUUUAUGAACAUUAAACCUUGGCUUUGAUGUCACAGUGUCAGUGGUCUUGGAUUCCUUUGAUGUCGUAGACUGUUGCGAAGG